rnacentral:misc_RNA from 1 species
AGAUCGGUUGCCUAUUGACCCUUGUGGGUUUGUUACUUUCGCAUCGUUCGGUGCAUUUUGGGGGCUGUUUUGGCUUUUGGUUGCUUGCUURGCCUUUUGGUUGGGUGGGUGGCUACUAGUUGGKCGGCUUUCGGGAAUGAUGACCGGGGAGGUGCAUGAGUGGUGAUUGGUUUGUUACGUGUGGAUGGCUGUUUGCYCGCGCACCAACGUUCACGCUGCAUACCUCUUCAGUUCUGCGUCAAGACUGGCUUUGUCUUGAGCAUGUUGUGGGUUUCCUGUGUUGCAUACCUAAUUGACGGUAACGUGUGGGUUUUACGGUUUUCUUUUUCGUCAUGCGUCCAUCAUGCGGCGUGGGAUGAACAAUGAAACGGUCUUUGUAAUCCACAGUGYUGUGCUUGCAACAACGAUGUGGCCUAUGAAGCAUC